rnacentral:rRNA from 1 species
AGCAGCCGCGGUAAUUCCAGCUCCAAUAGCGUAUAUUAAAGUUGUUGCAGUUAAAAAGCUCGUAGUUGAAUUUCGGGAUCAGUACGUUGGUCCGUGCCUUCGGUACGUACUGGCGUUACUGGUUCCUACCUUCUGAGGAACCGUCAUGUCAUUAAUUUGGUGUGGUGGGAAAUCAGGACUGUUACUUUGAAAAAAUUAGAGUGUUUAAAGCAGGCUCGCGCUUGAAUACAUUAGCAUGGAAUAAUGAAAUAGGACGUUCGAUCCUAUUUUGUUGGUUUCUAGGAUUGACGUAAUGAUUAAUAGGGAUAGUUGGGGGCAUUAGUAUUCAAUUGUCAGAGGUGAAAUUCUUGGAUUUAUUGAAGACUAACUACUGCGAAAGCAUUUGCCAAGGAUGUUUUCAUUAAUCAAGAACGAAAGUUAGGGGAUCGGAGACGAUCAGAUACCGUCGUAGUCUUAACCAUAAACUAUGCCGACUAGGGAUCGGAUGAUGUUAAUUUUUAAUGACUCAUUCGGCGCCUUA